UACGUAGGGUGCAAGCGUUGUCCGGAAUUAUUGGGCGUAAAGGGCUCGUAGGCGGUCCGUCACGUCGGGAGUGAAAUCCUGGGGCUUAACCCCAGAACUGCUUCCGAUACGGGCAGACUAGAGGUAGGUAGGGGAGAACGGAAUUCCUGGUGUAGCGGUGAAAUGCGCAGAUAUCAGGAAGAACACCCGUGGCUAAGGCGGCUCUCUAGUACGGUACUGACGCUGAGACGCGAAAGCGUGGGGAGCGAACAGG
rnacentral:rRNA from 1 species